AUGUCACCUUAAAGAUAUCUCCAUAUUCAGUUUGCAAAAGAAAGAAAAACAUUGACUUCUGCUUAUGCAUAGCAGCUGAAACAAUCAAAACCCCACGUUCCGCUGGCAAAUCCACCCUCCUGGGAAUAACAGCCCUAACAUCAGGGUGUCCCUGAUUCUUAUAUAUCACGAAAUUCUCCGCGCAAACAAGCACACCACUCGGACCAUCCCCACCACCAGGUACGGCCCUCCUGGGAAUAACAGCCCUAACAUCGGGGUGUCCCUGAUUCUUAUAUAUCACGAAAUUCUCCGCGCAAACAAGCACACCACUCGGACCAUCCCCACCACCAGGUACGGUCACGAGCAAAUUAGCACCAUUAUCAACCUGUUCACUCCACUUCCUCGACACGUGAUUAAGCCCUAAAUCUAAUUCAUAAAACGUCAAAUGCUUCUGAGCCUCAUUUGCGGCCUGGCCAGUAGGAUCCUGAUCC
rnacentral:lncRNA from 1 species